UGUAGAACCUUGCAGGCCACUGCAGGGAUUUGGGCUUUUACUCUGAAGUGGAUGGGAAGCCACUGGCGGGAUCUGAGCAGAGAAGACAUGGGUCCCCUGCCCUCCAGCGAGCCUAGUUGAGCCCCAGCUGGACUCCAAGUCGAGCCUCUGCAGCCAGGUGUCCGCCAGAUGUCUUCCACGGCCAGCAAGGGAACCGCCUGGGCACGCGUCAGUCUGGCCUGUUUCCUGAUCCAGAAAAUUAUUUUCAGCUGCGCGUGACCUUCCACGGGGCCAGGACCGGAAAACUAGACAGCAGUGAUCUUUUUAAAAC
rnacentral:lncRNA from 10 species